GACGAACGCUGGCGGCGUGCUUAACACAUGCAAGUCGAACGGAAAGGCCCUGCUUUUGUGGGGUGCUCGAGUGGCGAACGGGUGAGUAACACGUGAGUAACCUGCCCUUGACUUUGGGAUAACUUCAGGAAACUGGGGCUAAUACCGGAUAGGAGCUCCUGCUGCAUGGUGGGGGUUGGAAAGUUUCGGCGGUUGGGGAUGGACUCGCGGCUUAUCAGCUUGUUGGUGGGGUAGUGGCUUACCAAGGCUUUGACGGGUAGCCGGCCUGAGAGGGUGACCGGCCACAUGGGGACUGAGAUACGGACCAGACUCCAACGGGAGGCAGCAGUGGGGAAUAUUGCACAAUGGGCGGAAGCCUGAUGCAGCAACGCCGCGUGCGGGAUGACGGCCUUCGGGUUGUAAACCGCUUUCGCCUGUGACGAAGCGUGAGUGACGGUAAUGGGUAAAGAAGCACCGGCUAACUACGUG
rnacentral:rRNA from 1 species